rnacentral:rRNA from 1 species
GAUCUAUGGCUCAGGACGAACGCUGGCGGCACGCUUAACACAUGCAAGUCGAACGAGAGAAGAGAAGCUUGCUUUUCUGAUCUAGUGGCGGACGGGUGAGUAACACGUGAGCAAUCUGCCUUUCAGAGGGGGAUACCGAUUGGAAACGAUCGUUAAUACCGCAUAACAUAAUUGAACCGCAUGAUUUGAUUAUCAAAGAUUUAUCGCUGAAAGAUGAGCUCGCGU